GCCUGGGUGGCUCAGUCAGCUAAGCAUCUGACUUCGGCUCAGGUCAUGAUCUCACGGCUGUGGGUUCGAGCCCCUCAUUGGGCU
rnacentral:tRNA from 1 species